rnacentral:tRNA from 1 species
AGGGUAACAGCUCAGUGGUAGAGCACAUGCUGAGCAAGCAUGAGGUCCUGGGUUCAAUCCCCAGCACCUCUA